rnacentral:rRNA from 1 species
UACGUAGGGGGCAAGCGUUGUCCGGAAUCAUUGGGCGUAAAGAGCGCGUAGGCGGUCCGGUAAGUCGGUUGUGAAAUCCUUCGGCUCAACCGAAGAACGUCGAUCGAAACUGCCGUUCUUGAGGAUUGCAGAGGAGACUGGAAUUCCCGGUGUAGCGGUGAAAUGUGUAGAGAUCGGGAGGAACACCGGUGGCGAAGGCGGGUCUCUGGGCAAUUCCUGACGCUGAGGCGCGAAAGCGUGGGGAGCAAACGGG